rnacentral:tRNA from 1 species
GCCGAGGUGGUGAAAUUGGUAGACACGUUACUUUGAGGUGGUAAUGCUCAUUUGAGCUUACGGGUUCAAGUCCCGUCCUCGGUACUA